rnacentral:rRNA from 1 species
UUCCUACGGGGCGCAGCAGGGGGGAAUAUUGCACAAUGGGGGAAACCCUGAUGCAGCAACGCCGCGUGAGUGAAGAAGGUUUUCGGAUUGUAAAGCUCUGUUAGCAGGGAAGAGGAAGGACGGUACCUGCAGGGGGAGCCACGGCUAACUACGUGCCAGCAGCCGCGGUAAUACGUAGGUGGCAAGCGUUGUUCGGAAUAACUGGGCGUAAAGGAUGCGUAGGCGGUUAAACAAGGUAUAUGUUAAAUAUUUAG